rnacentral:lncRNA from 1 species
UGAAAAAGGCCUGAUUACUUGAGUAGUCAAGUAAUCUUACAAUACGGAGGUUUCCGGGGAGUGCUGGAGCAAGAAGGGGAUCUUCUCUCCAAAAGGUGCACAGGGAGAUCAAAAGAGAAAGUCACUGAAAUACUUUUAAGUUGUCAGUACUAUACCUUCACAGAAAAUCACUUAGUUUGCCUUUUGACAGCAGUUUAAAAGGCCUCUGGAUGACAGGGGAAUCCCCACAGUCAACCUGAUAGGUGCCUUACUGCUGACGGGCAGAAGUAACUUUCAGUAUGGUUCACACUUUCCUGGGUGUCCCCAAGUGUUUGGAAAGUGGAGAUGCAAGGGCACAGGGAGUAUGAGAUGGGUGAGGUGAGCUUGGAGUCAAGAGCCUUCUGGGAUAGAGAAUUUAGGAGAAUGGUAUUGGCAGAGGGAAGUAUGAACCUA